UACGUAGGUGGCGAGCGUUGUCCGGAAUCACUGGGCGUAAAGGGCGCGUAGGUGGCGGCCCAAGUCCGUGGUGAAAGCUCGCCGCUUAACGGCGAGUCGGCCACGGAGACUGGGUGGCUCGAGCACUGUAGGGGCAGAUGGAAUUCCGGGUGUAGCGGUGGAAUGCGUAGAGAUCCGGAAGAACACCAGUGGCGAAGGCGGUCUGCUGGGCAGUUGCUGACACUGAGGCGCGACAGCGUGGGGAGCAAACAGG
rnacentral:rRNA from 1 species